UACGAAGGGGGCUAGCGUUGCUCGGAAUGACUGGGCGUAAAGGGCGCGUAGGCGGCUUGCACAGUCAGGCGUGAAAUUCCUGGGCUCAACCUGGGGACUGCGCUUGAGACGUGUGGGCUUGAGUGGGGAAGAGGGUCGUGGAAUUCCCAGUGUAGAGGUGAAAUUCGUGGAUAUUCGGAAGAACACCAGUGGCGAAGGCGGCUCACUGGACCGGUAUUGACGCUGAGGUGCGAAAGCGUGGGGAGCAAACAGG
rnacentral:rRNA from 1 species